rnacentral:rRNA from 1 species
UGGGGAAUCUUGCGCAAUGGGCGAAAGCCUGACGCAGCAACGCCGCGUGAGCGAAGAAGGCCUUCGGGUUGUAAAGCUCUGUCAGGGGGAAAGAAGGCACCUGGGUUAAUAGCCCAAGGGCUGACGGUACCCCCAAAGGAAGCCACGGCUAACUACGUGCCAGCAGCCGCGGUAAUACGUAGGUGGCAAGCGUUGUCCGGAAUCAUUGGGCGUAAAGAGCGCGUAGGUGGCUUGUCAGGUCUGAUGUGAAAUUUCGGGGCUCAACUCCGAACCUGCAUCGGAAACCGGCUUGCUAGAGUCUGGGAGAGGAGAGUGGAAUUCCUGGUGUAGCGGUGAAAUGCGUAGAUAUCAGGAGGAACACCGGUAGCGAAGGCGGCUCUCUGGAACAGUACUGACGCUGAGGCGCGAAAGCUAGGGGAGCGAACAG